rnacentral:rRNA from 1 species
UACGUAGGGUGCAAGCGUUGUCCGGAAUUAUUGGGCGUAAAGAGCUCGUAGGCGGUCUGUCACGUCGGCUGUGAAAACCCGAGGCUCAACCUCGGGCCUGCAGUCGAUACGGGCAGACUAGAGUUCGGUAGGGGAGACUGGAAUUCCUGGUGUAGCGGUGAAAUGCGCAGAUAUCAGGAGGAACACCGGUGGCGAAGGCGGGUCUCUGGGCCGAUACUGACACUGAGGAGCGAAAGCGUGGGGAGCGAACAGG